rnacentral:rRNA from 1 species
AUUGGAAACGAUGGCUAAUACCGCAUAAUGCCUACGGGCCAAAGAGGGGGACCUUCGGGCCUCUCGCGUCAGGAUAUGCCUAGGUGGGAUUAGCUAGUUGGUGAGGUAAGGGCUCACCAAGGCGACGAUCCCUAGCUGGUCUGAGAGGAUGAUCAGCCACACUGGAACUGAGACACGGUCCAGACUCCUACGGGAGGCAGCAGUGGGGAAUAUUGCACAAUGGGCGCAAGCCUGAUGCAGCCAUGCCGCGUGUGUGAAGAAGGCCUUCGGGUUGUAAAGCACUUUCAGUCGUGAGGAAGGUAGUGUAGUUAAUAGCUGCAUUAUUUGACGUUAGCGACAGAAGAAGCACCGGCUAACUCCGUGCCAGCAGCCGCGGUAAUACGGAGGGUGCGAGCGUUAAUCGGAAUUACUGGGCGUAAAGCGCAUGCAGGUGGUUUGUUAAGUCAGAUGUGAAAGCCCGGGGCUCAACCUCGGAAUUGCAUUUGAAACUGGCAGACUAGAGUACUGUAGAGGGGGGUAGAAUUUCAGGUGUAGCGGUGAAAUGCGUAGAGAUCUGAAGGAAUACCGGUGGCGAAGGCGGCCCCCUGGACAGAUACUGACACUCAGAUGCGAAAGCGUGGGGAGCAAACAGGAUUAGAUACCCUGGUAGUCCACGCCGUAAACGAUGUCUACUUGGAGGUUGUGGCCUUGAGCCGUGGCUUUCGGAGCUAACGCGUUAAGUAGACCGCCUGGGGAGUACGGUCGCAAGAUUAAAACUCAAAUGAAUUGACGGGGGCCCGCACAAGCGGUGGAGCAUGUGGUUUAAUUCGAUGCAACGCGAAGAACCUUACCUACUCUUGACAUCCAGAGAACUUUCCAGAGAUGGAUUGGUGCCUUCGGGAACUCUGAGACAGGUGCUGCAUGGCUGUCGUCAGCUCGUGUUGUGAAAUGUUGGGUUAAGUCCCGCAACGAGCGCAACCCUUAUCCUUGUUUGCCAGCGAGUAAUGUCGGGAACUCCAGGGAGACUGCCGGUGAUAAACCGGAGGAAGGUGGGGACGACGUCAAGUCAUCAUGGCCCUUACGAGUAGGGCUACACACGUGCUACAAUGGCGCAUACAGAGGGCGGCCAACUUGCGAGAGUGAGCGAAUCCCAAAAAGUGCGUCGUAGUCCGGAUCGGAGUCUGCAACUCGACUCCGUGAAGUCGGAAUCGCUAGUAAUCGUGGAUCAGAAUGCCACGGUGAAUACGUUCCCGGGCCUUGUACACACCGCCCGUCACACCAU